rnacentral:lncRNA from 1 species
GGUAGGUUUAAGUGACUGGGUGAUCAGUGUUAGAUGAAGGUAGAAAUGGAGUUAGAUGGAAAUGUGGAGAUUUUGAAAAAAGAAGAAAGAGGAAGAGAAGGAGGAGGAAGAGGAGAAGCAGCAGCAUUCAUAAAAGGAGCAGAGAUGCUUGCCCUCGAAACCCAGCCACUUUACGGUGAGGAAGGCCAAACUAGGCCAUGUGGAGAGACCACAUGAAGAGGCCCACGUGUAGAGGAACUGAGGCCCCCAACCACAGCCAGCAUCAAUCGUCAGACACACAGCGCACUCAGUGCAGGGACUUUUGGCAAGGCCUUCUGCGUGCAGCCCUCCCAAGAUGUAGGACCCUGGGAAAAACUGCCGGCUGUUUGUUUUGUGGUGACGGCAGCAAAGCUCACUCGGAA